GUUGGAAUAGCUUAGUUGGCUAGAGUGUGUGGCUGUUAACCACAAGGUCGGAGGUUCAAGCCCUCCUUCUAGCG
rnacentral:tRNA from 2 species